rnacentral:rRNA from 1 species
CCUACGGGGGGCAGCAGUAGGGAAUAUUGCUCAAUGGGGGAAACCCUGAAGCAGCAACGCCGCGUGGAGGAUGAAGGUUUUAGGAUUGUAAACUCCUUUUGUGAGAGAAGAUAAUGACGGUAUCCCACGAAUAAGCACCGGCUAACUCCGUGCCAGAAGCCGCGGUAAUACGGAGGGUGCAAGCGUUACUCGGAAUCACUGGGCGUAAAGCGUGCGCAGGCGGGCUUGUAAGUCAGAUGUGAAAUCCUGUAGCUUAACUACAGAACUGCAUUUGAAACUAUGAGUCUAGAGUGUGGGAGAGGUAGGUGGAAUGCUUGGUGUAGGGGUAAAAGCCGUAGAUAUCAAGAGGAAUACUCAUUGCGAAGGCGACCUACUGGAACAUUACUGACGCUCAUGCACGAAAGCGUGGGUAGCAAACAGGAUUAGAUACCCUAGUAGUC